rnacentral:rRNA from 1 species
GACGAACGCUGGCGGCGUGCUUAACACAUGCAAGUCGAACGGAAAGGCCCUGCUUUUGUGGGGUGCUCGAGUGGCGAACGGGUGAGUAACACGUGAGUAACCUGCCCUUGACUUUGGGAUAACUUCAGGAAACUGGGGCUAAUACCGGAUAGGAGCUCCUGCUGCAUGGUGGGGGUUGGAAAGUUUCGGCGGUUGGGGAUGGACUGGCGGCUUAUCAGCUUGUUGGUGGGGUAGUGGCUUACCAAGGCUUUGACGGGUAGCCGGCCUGAGAGGGUGACCGGCCACAUUGGGACUGAGAUACGGCACAGACUCCUACGGGAGGCAGCAGUGGGAAAUAUUGCACAAUGGGCGGAAGCCUGAUGCAGCAACGCCGCGUGCGGGAUAACGGCCUUCGGGUUGUAAACCGCUUUCGCCUGUGACGAAGCGUGAGUGACGGUAAUGGGUAAAGAAGCACCGGCUAACUACGUG